AUGCCAUGAUGUGGGCAUUCUCUUUGUUGGUCUUUAUACCUUUCCCAUGCAUCACAGAGUGAUUCUCCUUCCUUUUGCCUGAAAGUGUUCAGCUUUAUUCUCAAUUU